GGAUGUGAGGGCCAUCUGGCUGCGACACCUCUCAUCCCAUUGAUCUCUAGGGUUGAUUCGGUGGCUCUGGCUGGAGAGGCGGGUGUCCCCUUCCUCCCUCACCACUCCAUGUGUGUCCCUCCCGAAGCUGAGCGCUCGGUCCAAGAGGACCACCCCUAGAGAGGAGGACCGUUUCCUAGGGAAGGGUAUACAAGUAGCUGCGCUCCCCUGCUAGAACCUCCACACAAGCUCUCAAGGUCCAUUUGAAAGGGAAUGUAGGGAAGUCAAGCUGCCAAGACCCAGACACAUCCCAAUGAGUCUCUGUAAGUGGCACUCUGCCUUUCUUA
rnacentral:snRNA from 1 species